rnacentral:lncRNA from 1 species
GACAAGCGUGGUGGCGCGAAUAUCUAUUAGGGGUCACAAUUGGCUAAGUACUAUCGUGACUGUAGAAUAUCUUAUGGGAUCACUAUGGUUGGUACGACUGUGGUCAUAGAUCAUACCAUAGUUUGGCAAGCCGAAAAUAUGCCUGAGCAAAUUUUCAUUAUCUGUAUCUGAUCUGGUCAUUCCACACGGGUAGUCAAAAAUCUGUAUCUAUCUUCAGAGAUGAAAG